AUUGAACGCUGGCGGCAGGCCUAACACAUGCAAGUCGAGCGGUAGCACAGAGAGCUUGCUCUCGGGUGACGAGCGGCGGACGGGUGAGUAAUGUCUGGGAAACUGCCUGAUGGAGGGGGAUAACUACUGGAAACGGUAGCUAAUACCGCAUAACGUCGCAAGACCAAAGUGGGGGACCUUCGGGCCUCAUGCCAUCAGAUGUGCCCAGAUGGGAUUAGCUAGUAGGUGGGGUAACGGCUCACCUAGGCGACGAUCCCUAGCUGGUCUGAGAGGAUGACCAGCCACACUGGAACUGAGACACGGUCCAGACUCCUACGGGAGGCAGCAGUGGGGAAUAUUGCACAAUGGGCGCAAGCCUGAUGCAGCCAUGCCGCGUGUGUGAAGAAGGCCUUCGGGUUGUAAAGCACUUUCAGCGGGGAGGAAGGCGUUAAGGUUAAUAACCUUGGCGAUUGACGUUACCCGCAGAAGAAGCACCGGCUAACUCCGUGCCAGCAGCCGCGGUAAUACGGAGGGUGCAAGCGUUAAUCGGAAUUACUGGGCGUAAAGCGCACGCAGGCGGCCUGUCAAGUCGGAUGUGAAAUCCCCGGGCUCAACCUGGGAACUGCAUUCGAAACUGGCAGGCUAGAGUCUUGUAGAGGGGGGUAGAAUUCCAGGUGUAGCGGUGAAAUGCGUAGAGAUCUGGAGGAAUACCGGUGGCGAAGGCGGCCCCCUGGACAAAGACUGACGCUCAGGUGCGAAAGCGUGGGGAGCAAACAGGAUUAGAUACCCUGGUAGUCCACGCCGUAAACGAUGUCGAUUUGGAGGUUGUGCCCUUGAGGCGUGGCUUCCGGAGCUAACGCGUUAAAUCGACCGCCUGGGGAGUACGGCCGCAAGGUUAAAACUCAAAUGAAUUGACGGGGGCCCGCACAAGCGGUGGAGCAUGUGGUUUAAUUCGAUGCAACGCGAAGAACCUUACCUGGUCUUGACAUCCACAGAACUUAGCAGAGAUGCUUUGGUGCCUUCGGGAACUGUGAGACAGGUGCUGCAUGGCUGUCGUCAGCUCGUGUUGUGAAAUGUUGGGUUAAGUCCCGCAACGAGCGCAACCCUUAUCCUUUGUUGCCAGCGGUUAGGCCGGGAACUCAAAGGAGACUGCCAGUGAUAAACUGGAGGAAGGUGGGGAUGACGUCAAGUCAUCAUGGCCCUUACGACCAGGGCUACACACGUGCUACAAUGGCAUAUACAAAGAGAAGCGACCUCGCGAGAGCAAGCGGACCUCAUAAAGUAUGUCGUAGUCCGGAUUGGAGUCUGCAACUCGACUCCAUGAAGUCGGAAUCGCUAGUAAUCGUAGAUCAGAAUGCUACGGUGAAUACGUUCCCGGGCCUUGUACACACCGCCCGUCACACCAUGGGAGUGGGUUGCAAAAGAAGUAGGUAGCUUAACCUUCGGGAGGGCGCUUACCACUUUGUGAUUCAUGACUGGGGUGA
rnacentral:rRNA from 1 species